UACGUAGGUGGCAAGCGUUAUCCGGAAUUAUUGGGCGUAAAGGGCGCGCAGGCUGUAGAUCAAGUCAGCUGUGAAAUGUCUGGGCUUAACCCGGGCAUGCGGUUGAAACUGAUGUACUGGAGUGCUGUAGAGGCAAGUGGAAUUCCCAGUGUAGCGGUGAAAUGCGUAGAUAUUGGGAAGAACACCGGUGGCGAAGGCGACUUGCUGGGCAGCAACUGACGCUGAGGCGCGAAAGCCAGGGGAGCAAACGGGAUUAGA
rnacentral:rRNA from 1 species